UUGGCGGCCAUGGCGGCGGGGUAACUCCUGUACCCAUCCCGAACACAGCAGAUAAACCCGCCCGCGUUCCGUACGGUACUAAAGUGCGCGAGCCUUUGGGAACUGCGGAUAGCUGCCAGCU
rnacentral:rRNA from 13 species